GAGGAUGUGCGGCAGGGGCUCAGGCCCAGUGCACAGAGGUGCUGGGCUAGCACUGAGGGGAGGCUGGAGGCUGAGCCUGGGGGCCUGGUGAGGGAGGAGAACUGAGAGGCCAGCACCACCCUCAGAGGCACCAGUGGUCCAGUCCAGCAGAGGAACAGGGAGAGGAAUGAGCCGUCAGCCCAGAGCCAGGACACACUUGGUCCCUGGAGAACUCUACGUGUGAGCAGAGCAGAGCUGGUCAGCCUUCCCGGCCUCAGCCUCCUUCUCUGGCUUUGCUUUUCUGGCCCCUCCCCACCUCCCCUCCCCAGUGGCUGGCGCCUGGCUCUCCCUCCUGACCAGCCCAGCCUUUGGCUGUCUCUGCCCCCAGGUCGCCUCUUCUUUGUUUCUGACUCCUUCCCCCAGUGACUUCCUCCUGCAGGGUGGAAUCAGGCAGAGGCGGGAGGCGGGGCUGGCAGGAGGCAGGGCGUAGGAGGGGUGAGCCCAGAAACCCACGGGGCUCUAGGUGAGCUCCGGAGUUCUCCCUGGAUCCCCUGAGCCACACAAGACAGGCAGGGGAGACCCCAGGCCCUGGGGGUGCUGGGCAGCCGGAACCCCCAGACUGCCUUGAAAUUCUUCAGGACUGGGUGCCCCUGCACGACGAGCCGUGCAUCCACCCCCACGACUCUGUUCCCACUUUCUCAGCUCUUGGCCUGGCUGGGGGCAGGAGGGAUGAACGACGGUGGAGCCUGACCUGGGUCUGACGGCCCACGAACAAUGAUGCACCUGGAGACACUCAGGGCCCUUCCUUCUCUGGCUGCGAGGACUGGUGAGGGCACAGGGCAGGGUCCUGCAGAGGGGCUCAGUGAACAGAAAGUCGAAGUCAGUAAGACAAGUGAGUCUCAGUCCCAGUUCUCUGGAGCCUUCCUAGAAUCACGGUGAUGUGAUGGGUAAGAAUCAAAUGCUCCCCCUCGCUUCCCAGAGGCAGUCAAGUGGUGGUGAAGGCCUGGGCCACUUCCUCGCUGCAGGGCCUGGCCGGCUUGGCCAGCACACAGGAGGGCUGUGUUGGCACCAGCGUGGAGGACAGCAAAGGGGGGACAGAGCUGGGAACCCAACGCUGACGCCUCCCACGUGUCUCCCUCUCUCCACGACCCUGUCUGGACCUCUCCCACCAGUUUCUCCUCCUCCCCAAGGGGACCGAAGCUCCAUCUGGCUCCCCAGUCCCCCAAGAUACCCCGGGUGGUGCUCCAGUCUCUGCCCGUCUGGGCCCAGGGGUGGCAGUGCGGCCAGGAGGGCGUCUCUCCCUACCCUCGCCCUUCUGGGGGCCGUCAUCCUGCAGGGCUUCCCAGAGGAUUGCCACCCAUCUUCCCCUCCUCCCUCGGGAAGCCCUGCCAGCUAGAGACGGCCUCUCUCUCCUUGUCCCCUUAGGUCCUGGCGGAAACGAGGGAGCUGCAGCGGGGCCCAGGCAGCCAGGGCAGGAUGGCGACUGAGGAGGUCGGGGCAGGGCCGGACCGAGGAGCGUGGAGAGGGUCUUCUGAUGAGGCCCCCUUGCUGCUUGAUGAAAGACCUCGUGGACUCGUGGGGACCUGACGAGCAGACACUUCUGCACUCGUGCUCCCUAGCAGGGGACCCAAUAGAAAAACUAAAACAGACACGGGGACACGGGGGGCACCAACCUAUAACAGCGAGGAGCACGUGGACAGGGAGGAGAGAAGGACGGGAGGAAACUCCAGAGGCCAUAAAAGGAACAGGCCCAACUCCCCAGCAGACUCCCAGCUCUGGGGCCUUCUCUCCCGAGAAGUCUCCCUCUGUAUCUUUUGUCUUUCAACAAACCUGCUUCUGCUGCUGU